GCGUCUUUAUAGAGUCUACGUGUUAACGGAGGUACAUGUAUAUUUGAGACAGCUGUUGGAGGUGGUUACGUAUAUACCAAGUAAACUAGGGUGUUCGGUUUGAAAAUAUAAUAUAUUUAAAUAACGAAAAUGUCCGAAGAACAUUUUGACGAAUACGAACAUUACAAUUUUGACCAAGAUAAGCAUAUGUUCUCGGGACACAGCGGAAAGCAAAGAACCAAGAAAGAAGCUAGUGAACAUACUAAUUUCUCUGAUCCUGGUGGUCAUUCUCGCAAACUAGUUACAAAAAUGCAGAACACUGAGCAAAAUAGAAAGGACACUGAAAAGGUACCAAAAGAAAAGAAGCAGAAUUCUUAGUCGUGAAAACUUUUGGUAAACGGCAUUAACUAUAUAUACAGAAUGAUGACGGACCAAUGUGUGAGCGAGAAAAUCAGAAACUCGAAGAAAAUUUUUAAUA